rnacentral:tRNA from 1 species
GCCUUCGUGGUGUAAUGGUCAGCACACUCGGCGCGUAUUCGAGAGGUCCGUGGUUCGAGUCCCGGCGAGGGCA